rnacentral:rRNA from 1 species
GAUGAACGCUGGCGGCGUGCCUAAUACAUGCAAGUCGAGCGAACGGACGAGAAGCUUGCUUCUCUGAUGUUAGCGGCGGACGGGUGAGUAACACGUGGAUAACCUACCUAUAAGACUGGGAUAACUUCGGGAAACCGGAGCUAAUACCGGAUAAUAUUUUGAACCGCAUGGUUCAAAAGUGAAAGACGGUCUUGCUGUCACUUAUAGAUGGAUCCGCGCUGCAUUAGCUAGUUGGUAAGGUAACGGCUUACCAAGGCAACGAUGCAUAGCCGACCUGAGAGGGUGAUCGGCCACACUGGAACUGAGACACGGUCCAGACUCCUACGGGAGGCAGAAGUAGGGAAUCUUCCGCAAUGGGCGAAAGCCUGACGGAGCAACGCGGCGUGAGUGAUGAAGGUCUGCGGAUCGUAAAACUCUGUUAUUAGGGAAGAACAGAUGUGUAAGUAACUGUGCACAUCUUGACGGUACCUAAUCAGAAAGCCACGGCUAACUACGU